rnacentral:misc_RNA from 1 species
AACGAGGCCGACCUGCGGCUGAGUUACCUGCGGAGGGAUCAUUACAGAGUUGCAAAACUCCCUAAACCAUUGUGAACGUUACCUAAACCGUUGCUUCGGCGGGCGGCCCGGGUCCUUCCCGGCGCCCAUCGGCCCUCGCGGGCGCCCGCCGGAGGUAAACCAAACUAUUGCAUUGUAUGGCCUCUCUGAGUCUUCUGUACUGAAUAAGUCAAAACUUUCAACAAUGGAUCUCAGAUCGGA